AAUAUUGCACAAUGGGCGCAAGCCUGAUGCAGCCAUGCCGCGUGUAUGAAGAAGGCCUUCGGGUUGUAAAGUACUUUCAGCAGUGAGGAAGGUGGAUAUGUUAAUAGCAUAUUCAUUUGACGUUAGCUGCAGAAGAAGCACCGGCUAACUCCGUGCCAGCAGCCGCGGUAAUACGGAGGGUGCGAGCGUUAAUCGGAAUUACUGGGCGUAAAGCGCAUGCAGGUGGUUUGUUAAGUCAGAUGUGAAAGCCCGGGGCUCAACCUCGGAAUUGCAUUUGAAACUGGCAAACUAGAGUACUGUAGAGGGGGUAGAAUUUCAGGUGUAGCGGUGAAAAUGCGUAGAGAUCUGAAGGAAUACCGGUGGCGAAGGCGGCCCCCUGGACAGAUACUGACACUCAGAUGCGAAAGCGUGGGGAGCAAACAGGAUUAGAUACCCUGGUAG
rnacentral:rRNA from 1 species